AGCGAACGCUGGCGGCAGGCCUAACACAUGCAAGUCGAACGAACUCUUCGGAGUUAGUGGCGGACGGGUGAGUAACACGUGGGAACGUGCCUUUAGGUUCGGAAUAACUCAGGGAAACUUGUGCUAAUACCGAAUGUGCCCUUCGGGGGAAAGAUUUAUCGCCUUUAGAGCGGCCCGCGUCUGAUUAGCUAGUUGGUGAGGUAAAGGCUCACCAAGGCGUCGAUCAGUAGCUGGUCUGAGAGGAUGAUCAGCCACAUUGGGACUGGGACACGGCCCAAACUCCGACGGGGGGCAGCAGUGGGGAAUCUUGCACAAUGGGCGAAAGCCUGACGCAGCCAUGCCGCGUGAAUGAUGAAGGUCUUAGGAUUGUAAAAUUCUUUCACCGGGGACGAUAAUGACGGUACCCGGAGGAGAAGCCCCGGCUAACUUCGUGCCAGCCGCCGCCGUAA
rnacentral:rRNA from 1 species